AAGACCUUAGAUACUGUUGCUACGUCUGUCAAACAUUGCGGAAUUAACCAGGAAGUAGCCGUAAACAACCAUUGACAACAAGGGGGGAGACCGAGUAUGGAGGAUUUUAAUGAAGAAUUAAGCGAAAUAUUUUGGAGAAAUACAUCUUUGAUAUCAUCGAGAGCAAGGCAAAAGGGUUUGCAGUUCGCUGUGGAGGGCUAUAUUCACAAUUUAGAGUUUACAAACGAGGGGGAUAGUAAUACAAUUCAAGCUAAAGCCUAUCGGUCCCAAUGUAAAAACGAGAAGCAUCACCAACUUUUUUUACAAUAUACUAGUAAUACUAUUGUGGACGAGUCAUGUUCGUGUACUGCAGGCUUGCCAGGUUACUGUGCCCAUGUUGUGGGUCUGGUAUACACGCUGGACCUCUGGCGUGCGAAACAAGAAGAGGUAGCUUCAACAAGUGUUCCACAAACAUGGCAUCAACCAAGAGGGGGCAAAAUAGCAGCCACACCUGUAGUAAAUUUAGUGGUUGCCAAGACCAAAAUUCAAAGAAAAAGGAAACCGAUUGUCAAUACCUACACACACAAGAAGAAAAUGCUAGGGACAGAAAUAUUCGAUCUGCUGAGGGAAAUUACAGAUGCACCUAUCCGCUACCUUGUAGAUAAAGAUGCACCUCAGCUAGAAGUGAAAGGCCAGAAAUAUGCCUUGGGAUGUGGUCUA